rnacentral:tRNA from 1 species
UUCUCCACAGUUACAGCAACAUUAGGUUGCAAACCUAAGAAUAAAGGAGAAG